GCCGAGGUGGCGGAACUGGUAGACGCGCUAGUUUCAGGUAUUAGUGAGGAAACUCAUGGAGGUUCAAGUCCUCUCCUCGGCACCA
rnacentral:tRNA from 1 species